ACGGAAGGCAGCAGUGGGGAAUAUUGGGCAAUGGGCGAAAGCCUGACCCAGCAACGCCGCGUGAAGGAAGAAGAUUUUCGGAUUGUAAACUUCUUUUAUAAGGGACGAAAAAAAUGACGGUACCUUAUGAAUAAGCCACGGCUAACUACGUGCCAGCAGCCGCGGUAAUACGUAGGUGGCGAGCGUUGUCCGGAUUUACUGGGUGUAAAGGGAGCGCAGGCGGGACUGCAAGUUGGAUGUGAAAUACCGAGGCUUAACCUCGGAGCUGCAUCCAAAACUGCAGUUCUUGAGUGAAGUAGAGGUAGGCGGAAUUCCGAGUGUAGCGGUGAAAUGCGUAGAUAUUCGGAGGAACACCGGUGGCGAAGGCGGCCUACUGGGCUUUAACUGACGCUGAGGCUCGAAAGUGUGGGGAGCAAACAGGAUUAGAUACCCUGGUA
rnacentral:rRNA from 1 species